UACGUAGGGGGGCUAGCGUUGUCCGGAUUUAUUGGGCGUAAAGAGCGUGUAGGCGGCCAAGUAGGUCCGUUGUGAAAACUGGAGGCUUAACCUCCAGCUGUCGAUGGAAACCAUUUGGCUAGAGUCCGGAAGAGGAGAGUGGAAUUCCUGGUGUAGCGGUGAAAUGCGCAGAUAUCAGGAAGAACACCCGUGGCGAAGGCGGCUCUCUGGGACGGUACUGACGCUGAGACGCGAAAGCGUGGGGAGCGAACAGG
rnacentral:rRNA from 1 species